GUUCUGUCAAAAAGCAGUGGGUAUUUACAGUUAAUUGAUCCAGUCAGUACAGACAUCCUUGUUUCACAUCCAUCCCCCACUCCUGUACUUGACUGGCUUUAA
ensembl:Y_RNA Y_RNA Y RNA